AGUGAACGCUGGCGGCAGGCCUAACACAUGCAAGUCGAGCGGCAGCGGGUUCCCGCGAGGGGAUGCCGGCGAGCGGCGGACGGGUGAGGAACACAUCGGAAUCUGCCUGGUUGUGGGGGAUAACGUAGGGAAACUUACGCUAAUACCGCAUGCGACCCUGAGUCGACGGACUGGGGGUGAAAGUGAGGGACCUUCGGGCCUCACGCGACCAGAUGAGCCGAUGUCGGAUUAGCUAGUUGGCGGGGUAACGGCCCGCCAAGGCGACGAUCCGUAGCUGGUCUGAGAGGAUGAUCAGCCACACUGGGACUGAGACGACGGCCCAGACUCCUACGGGGAGGCAGCAGUGGGGAAUCUUGGACAAUGGGCGC
rnacentral:rRNA from 1 species